rnacentral:lncRNA from 1 species
UUCAAGCUGGCCCACACCUCAGCCGCCGUCUUCUUCGUCGAUACCUGCAUCAACAAGUCUUCGGAGAGCGCACCGAACAGCACCGCCCUCGCCGUCUUGUUCUUCCCCGUGUCGACCGCCGCACCGCUCGCUGGUGACACCGCUUCCCAGAGGUUCUGGGCGUCGAGGAUGGCUUCGGCCUUGAUCGCCCACACCGUGUAGUUGUCCGGUGUGAGCAUCGGCAUCGGCAUCGACACCGUGCUACCCCUGCGCUGUGCGGGACGAUCGCCAUGGCCACGAGCACAGGAACAAACGAGGCUCUGUAUACCAAUUGUUGGGAUCUAACCCUAACUAGCUCGAACUAGCUUUCAGGGAUGGAGGUAGACGAAGCAAGGAACGGAGAUAGAUUGUUUUUCUGGCAACAAACCAAGGCGCCAAACGCCCUCUUUUCCCUGUCAUAUAUAUAGCUGGACAAACCAGGACAUAUCUGGACUCCUAACCAUCUACGCAUAACAACCUGGACUAACAAACCAAAUCCUGGCCGGCUUUGUAGCCUACGAGACGCAGCGCCCAAGCUUCCUUUCAUACGCACGCACGUACGAGCGCCCAGAGACUAGCUCGCCUACGCUGUCCUCUACUACGCGUUCUAACGCGUCCAGCCAUGGCUGCUGCUAACUGACUACGACUCGAUCAUGAGCACAGACUCGACACGCACACACGCACCCAACGCACGCACACACGCACGCACGCCACGGCGUCCGGCACGACCAACACGCACGCACACGUUGGUCACCACCACCACCGUGUCUUAUUCCUAACAAUCUCCCCCUAAGACACGACCUACAGUAAGGUCGGCUCGUCGUCGAUGUCGCCGAGGAGCGCCUUCUCCUUCUUCGGCUGCCGGCAGUCGCGGGAGAAGUGGCCACGAACGCCACAGUUGUAGCACUUCCCGCGCCGCCGUCUCGUGCCCGAAGCCACACUGCUCGCACCGUCGUCGUGGUCGAGGUUGCCGCCGUGCUGACGCUGCCGUGCCUCCCACUGGGCCGCCGUGAACAUCAGUUGAUCGCCGCCUCGUCCGCCGUUGUCCUGUGUGCGCCGACGUAAGCGUUCGUCAAACGCCUUGAGCCUGCUCAACGCCUCCUCGAACGCCAUCGUCUCCACGUCGCAAAACUGCUCGAUCCCGGCCACCGCGGCAUACAACCGAUCGGGCACCGUGUCGAGCAGUUUUUUCACCAUGGCGGCGUCGCCGAGCGUCGAGCCGAGGCCAGCAUACCUUGCUGCCAUGCCGCCUAUCUUGCCGGCGUACGUGUCCAGCGCCUCCCCCUCCUCCAUGCGCAGGUUGUCAAACUCGCCACGGAGGGUGGAGAGCCGCGCGGCCUGGACCCGAUCGGCACCGAUGAACCUCGUCUUCAAGCUGGCCCACACCUCAGCCGCCGUCUUCUUCGUCGAUACCUGCAUCAACAAGUCUUCGGAGAGCGCACCGAACAGCACCGCCCUCGCCGUCUUGUUCUUCCCCGUGUCGACCGCCGCACCGCUCGCUGGUGACACCGCUUCCCAGAGGUUCUGGGCGUCGAGGAUGGCUUCGGCCUUGAUCGCCCACACCGUGUAGUUGUCCGGUGUGAGCAUCGACAUCGGCAUCGACACCGUGCUACCCCCUGCGCUGUGCGGGACGAUCGCCAUGGCCACGAGCACAGGAACAAACGAGGCUCUGUAUACCAAUUGUUGGGAUCUAACCCUAACUAGCUCGAACUAGCUUUCAGGGAUGGAGGUAGACGAAGCAAGGAACGGAGAUAGAUUGUUUUUCUGGCAACAAACCAAGGCGCCAAACGCCCUCUUUUCCCUGUCAUAUAUAUAGCUGGACAAACCAGGACAUAUCUGGACUCCUAACCAUCUACGCAUAACAACCUGGACUAAUAAACCAAAUCCUGGCCGGCUUUGUAGCCUACGAGACGCAGCGCCCAAGCUUCCUUUCGUACGCACGCACGUACGAGCGCCCAGAGACUAGCUCGCCUACGCUGUCCUCUACUACGCGUUCUAACGCGUCCAGCCACGGCUGCUGCUAACUGACUACGACUCGAUCAUGAGCACAGACUCGACACGCACACACGCACCCAACGCACGCACACACGCACGCACGCCACGGCGUCCGGCACGACCAACACGCACGCACACGUUGGUCACCACCACCACCGUGUCUUAUUCCUACCAUAGUACCUUAGCAGUUGGCACUCACCUCAUAGCAGUCCAUGAGCUUGCAGGCAAAUUGAGAUCAAUAAUUCCUCCACCAUCUGCAAAAGAAAUACUCCCUCCGUCCGG